AUUGAACGCUGGCGGCAUGCCUUACACAUGCAAGUCGAACGGUAACAGGUCUUCGGAUGCUGACGAGUGGCGAACGGGUGAGUAAUACAUCGGAACGUGCCUAGUAGUGGGGGAUAACUACUCGAAAGAGUGGCUAAUACCGCAUGAGAUCUACGGAUGAAAGCAGGGGAUCGCAAGACCUUGUGCUACUAGAGCGGCCGAUGGCAGAUUAGGUAGUUGGUGGGAUAAAAGCUUACCAAGCCGACGAUCUGUAGCUGGUCUGAGAGGACGAUCAGCCAAACUGGGACUGAGACACGGCCCAGACUCCUACGGGAGGCAGCAGUGGGGAAUUGUGGACAAUGGGCGAAAGCCUGAUCCAGCAAUGCCGCGUGCAGGAUGAAGGCCUUCGGGUUGUAAACUGCUUUCGUACGGAACGAAAAGCCCCGGGUUAAUACCCUGGGGUCAUGACGGUACCGUAAGAAUAAGCACCGGCUAACUACGUGCCAGCAGCCGCCGUAA
rnacentral:rRNA from 1 species